UACGAAGGGGGCUAGCGUUGCUCGGAAUCACUGGGCGUAAAGGGUGCGUAGGCGGGUCUUUAAGUUCAGGGGUGAAAUCCUGGAGCUCAACUCCAGAACUGCCUUUGAUACUGAGGAUCUUGAGUUCGGGAGAGGUGAGUGGAACUGCGGAGUGUAGAGGUGAAAUUCGUAGAUAUUCGCAAGAACACCAGUGGCGAAGGCGGACU
rnacentral:rRNA from 1 species